GGUGAAGUCGUAACAAGGUAACCCUAGGGGAACCUGGGGUUGGAUCACCUCCUUA
rnacentral:rRNA from 1 species